UUAGGGCAGUUUGUGUGACCGCCUUAAUUCAUCUCUUUUACAAUGGCGACUAUUGGUAAUUCCGGCGGUUUCAAACCGCCCUAUAAUCAUCAUACUAUUAAAAAGAAAAACUAAAUCCCAAAGUCUCAGAUCUAAAAUUCCAUCCAAACACGUGAAGUUCCAGGUUUGCUCUCGCAGAAACGCCAUUUUUGCUCCUUAGAGCUUCUCCUCCCCCGUCAAGAUUUUCUCCAGAUCUGUGAGCUUCUCCUCCUCCGUCAAGAUUUUCUCCAAAUCUGCGAGCUUCUCUUCCUUCUUCGACCUUUUGUUCUGCUAGCUUCUCCUCAUCCAUUAACGUGCAUUUUCCUCCACGAUCUGUUUCUCAGUUUGCGUUCUAACUUCUCACUUCUAGAUCUGUAACUAAAUUCACAUCCUCUGGUUCUAAUUACUUCAAUGAUUGUUAUAUGCUAAUUGUUCUAAUUACAUUCACUCUUAAUUAUUGUUUUUAGCAUUUCGCCUUUAAUGCGGCUUUGAUAAUUGGCUCGAUGCUCCUUAUCGCUUAUUUCUUCCUCGUAGUUUCAUGGAAGUUCUAUUUUGGUUCAUUUCUUGUAAUGUGUUGUUAUCAAAUUACCAAAUUUAGGGUUUUUCUUUUCUCAAUUUUGGUUUUGGUUCCAUCCAAUUUUGAUUUGGUCCACUUCCUGUAAUUUUUAAUUUUGUGAUUGUGCCACUGCUUUAAUUUUGGCUUUUAAUUUUUUAUUUUUUUUGCUCAUGCAGAAGUACAUAAAGCAGAACACUGACGUGACUCUCUGUGCACUCGAGAUGGGGAAGCAACCAUAUCAAGAAUCUGCAGGUAUAUAUAAUUAGGUGCUAUAUGGCUUAGCUUGUAUAUUGCAUGUUAAAAAGGUAAUUAAAAAGCUUUGAUAGUAGUUGUUAUUGUCUACUACUAAUAUACAUCAAAAGCUAAUUAAAAAGCAAUGAUGGUUGUGAAAGAUUUGGAGAAUAUAUUAUUAAGAUUUCAUUCCUACGAAAAUAUACUGAAGUAUCUGAUUUGUUUAAUAAAUUGAGUUUGCAAAUUUUAAGGCUGGAGUGGUUAGCCUUUUUGGUCUAUAUUCUCAGCAAAGGGAGCCAGAUUGAGCCAAAACCAGGUACUAAUUAUUAGUAUUUUAAGGUUUGUACUAUUUGUUGAUGGAAAUUGCGAGAGAAAGUUAGUAAAAUGGAUUAUUUAUUUUAUUAUUAAUGUUAGUUCUUUUUCUUUUGUUGUAUUGAUUGGUUAGGAAGAGUGGUGUUAGGGGAUCUUAAUCAAAGUAAAUAGGGCCUUUUGUUGCUGAGUGAAAGUUGGAAAAAGCAAAGAUUUUUUUUGUUAUUUUUUUUAAAACUAUUGGCCUUUUGUCAUGAAAACAAAAAUUCAAUCCAUAUUUGAAGAUCAUUUCAUUGUCUUGCAUGUUUCUUCUUAGCUAUUGUAUUUUGUCAGAAACUGAAAGUAUAGAUUAAUCCAUAGAAAAAAUUGUGUUCAUAUCUAGACACUUGCUUGGUUUAGAGCUUCUUUCUUCGAUUCUAUUUGAUCAGGAGUAAGCAUUGCAGAUUGUAUUUUGUUCAUAUUUAGAAUUUUGAAGACUUUACAGGAGAAUUCUUCCACUACCUUAAUCUCAUUGCAGACACAUUAAAUGGCUUGGAGGAUCGUGAUGCUAUUGCGAGAAUCGGGACAAGAUGCUUAUCAGCUGUCAGUGUGCAUGAUAAUACUCUGGAGAAUGUCGAGACGUUAGAUGAUGCACAGACUAAGUUUGAUGAUAUCCUUGAUUCUCCUUCUAUUGAUGUAGCUUGUGAGAAGAUCAAAAGCCUUGUGAAGUGUCCUCUUACUACAAUAAAUUGAAUGCAGAAUUUAGUAAACCAAAGCUAGGACUAUUCAGUUUACAAUUUGAAUGCAGAAUCUCAAAGACAGCUUUGAUUUUAGAUGAAGUGUACUCACUCUGCUGCAGCAAAAAACAUCUCUUCUUCCUUUUGAUUUUCCUUUUCUGCACUUGUACUUUUAUGUGGUCAGAUUAUAAAAUUUUCCUUUUCUGCACUUGUACUUUUAUGUGGUAGGAUCAUGGGAUUGGAUUCAUCACUCAUUCAUGGUGGACUUUAGUACCUUGCGGCCAGUUCUACUACUACUACUUUCUGCACUGUCAAAAAAUAUUAAAGAAUAAAAUUCCUAUCAUGCUCUGCAGCUUUGAGCAGUUUUGCAUUAGUUUCUUUGUAACUCAUUUUCAGCCUAUCUAUGGCUUACUCAUGAAGAGGUAAUAUUUUUGGCUUAGAUUAUGACACCCUACUGGUCUGAAACUAAUUUGAAACAAGCUAAUAUAUUAUGCAAAAUUGAAAGACCUAAGUACAAUGAAACUUCAGGGAAGCAGCAAGGAACUUUGAGUUCCUAUUGUGACAAUGGAAAAAGAAAUAAAACAAAAUCAGUCAGGGUGCCUCCAAAGGAAGGUUAACAUGCUAAAAAUCUUGCCACAGAGAGGAGAUGAAGAUGCAAACAGAAGUGAAUCAUAUAAGCAGAACAGAGUUCUUGCUUAAGGUAUGCUGGGAGCAGAAGCCAGGUGGGUUUUCAAGGUUCAUGGAAGCUAUAAAUUCAUUUUGAUUUCAGGUGAAAAAUGCCAAUAUGACCACAAUUGACGGAAAGGCUCAGAUCAUUCUAACAGUUGAGUGUUCUGUUUUUGGCAUAUUUCAUGUCUCUUUAUAAUCUCAUGAUUGCAUCAGUAAUGGAUUGAGGGCAUAUAAAAGGAAGGGUGGAAGACAAGCACAUUCAAGAUGUCUCAGCUCACAAAAUAUUAGUUAGUUAUACAAACCCGAAUGAUGAUAAUUAGGGUACUAUUGUGGGGUGUCGUGCCGCAAACCACCUGGGCAAUUUGUAUAUCUGAAUUUUUCUUCUGUAUUAAAUUUAUAUAUAUAUAUUUUUUAUUGGGAUGCUGUAAGCCAUUACAAUGUACUUCUGAUUGUAUUCUUGGCCUUGCUAAGAUAGUGGUUCAAUUCAAGUCACUCAAUCAUGCAUUAUCAUU